rnacentral:lncRNA from 1 species
GCUGCAACAAGUUUACAACAGAAAAGCGCGGUUAUCGGCCGUUCGCUAUGUUGGUACAAUCACUUUCGCGAUGUUUCGUGUGACUACGUACCGCUGGACGCGUUGGUGCCUGUGGGCGGCAUUGUUCAGGACAUCGUGUAACUAAAUUAAGACAGCGUGCUUAGCACUACGCCAAGAAUGCCUGCAGGAGCCGACGCAUUCGGUACUAGUCACGUUAAAUCUCGCGAAAGUGAUUAUAUGCCCGAAAACGAACGAUCAAAAACAGGGGAUAGAGUUCCAAACGAGAGCACAAUCCCGUAAGGUAGCCACGCUUCCAAAGGGAUCGCGGCCGAUCGGUAUUGAAAUUGACCCGUGUGACCGAGGGUGUAACUGCCGUCGGAAACCCAAGAUGCCAGCCGAGGUCAUCGGCGUAUCUUGUGUGCGCAAAUUAGCAAGAAAUUUAGAUUUUUUUCAACUGCGUUGUACAGUGUGCAUUUCAAACUGAACUGAGAGAUCACUUUAGGCAAAUAAUUUGGAUGAAACACUUUUUUUUUCUCAUUUUGUACUACGUUAAACUUAGGCGUGCUGUCCAUGCAUGAUGGUCAACAAUAUAAUCUCCACCACUCGUAGUGCCGAACGCUUCGGGAACGGACGAACAAGUAAAUAAAUAAAGAAAAUCCAUUUGGUCACCUUGGCGGGUAAUGAAAGACGGCUGGAAGCUGGUGACGUAAUGUUGUUAUUUCAUGCAGUAAGUCGUUCGUGUGCGAGAGCCAGACCCAACUAGGACAAGUCCAGCUCUCGGCGCCACACGUGAAGCGUCUAGUCGUUCAGCGGUAGAGCGGAGCCUGACAUCACUGUUCGCUCAGGUCUUUGACAGAAUGUGGCCGUCAGAAUUGCUCAUCUGGAGUGCCAUCGCUCUUUUUCUUUCUUCAUCUAGUGCAGUAAGAUUUUGAGGACUCGUUUAAGUGCAACACUCCGGUCCCACUUUUCCCCGCCAUAUCCGUUUGCGAAAAAUUGGUCUCCAGGGUAACUCUUCUCGCGUGUGUUUGGCGCCCAGAUUCCUUUUGAGGUGUUGAUAUGUUUCGCUUAAUAAACUUUUGAACUAAAAAGGGUCUGAA